GCUCUCAGCCGGCGCUCUCGCGAGAUCGGCGCGCGCGCGCCGCCGCCGUUCCCGCCGCUGAGGCCGCGGCCGCGCUCCCCCCGCCCUGCCCCUCCCGCGCCGGGGCCGCUCCCGCUGCCGCUCCCGCUUCUCUCUUUCUCUGUCUCUUUCUGUCUCUCUUUCCGCGCGCCUCUCGCGAGGCUUCGGGGCCGCGCUGCUGCCAGCGCCUCGCGAGAUCUCGCUCUCCUCAUCAGCGUGCCGCAGCUCCCGGCUCCCUCCCCCUCGCAGCGACCGGCCGGGCCGAGGAUGGACUGGGAGUGAUUCCCGGCAGAGCACGAGGACCGGAACCCCAAAAUGAAAGUGGAUCGGACGAAACUGAAGAAAACCCCCACGGAGGCGCCCGCCGACUGCCGGGCCCUCAUCGAGAAGCUGAAAGCUUGCAGUGAUGAGCAGCUGGUGACA
rnacentral:lncRNA from 1 species